CAUCGCAAAGAUGGGGUUAUAGGGCUGUCAGCGAAGCAGACAUGACAUGAUAGGAGAAGCUUCUGGGAAGGAGCGACGAAGAGGGUGACAUUCCCGUAUCCGAAAUCGUGAAGUGAUGCGAGACAGUACCUGAGUACGUCGGGGCACGUGGAAUCCUGACGGAAUUAUCGAGGACCAUCUCGAAAGGCUAAAUACUCCUUUGUGACCGAUAGUGAACCAGUACCGUGAGGGAAAGGUGAAAAGAACCCCGGGAGGGGAGUGAAAGAGAACCUGAAACCAUAUGCUUACAAGAAGUCAGAGCCCGUUAAGGGGUGAUGGCGUGCCUUUUGUAGAAUGAGCCGGCGAGUUAUGAUAUGCAGCGAGGUUAAGCAGGAGAUGCGGAGCCGAAGCGAAAGCGAGUCUGAAUAGGGCGAGAGUUGUAUGUCAUAGACCCGAAACCGAGUGAUCUAGCCAUGAUCAGGUUGAAGUUGGGGUAAAACCCGAUGGAGGACCGAACCGACCCCCGUUGAAACGUUGGCGGAUGAAUUGUGGCUAGGGGUGAAAUUCCAAACGAACUCGGAGAUAGCUGGUUCUCCCCGAAAUAGCUUUAGGGCUAGCGUCAGAGUGAAAGUUAUGUGAAGGUAGAGCACUGAAUAUGUGAUGGCCUCAUCCCGAGGUACUGAAUAUAAUCAAACUCCGAAUGUCACAGGAACAUAUCUGGCAGUCAGACUGCGGGUGAUAAGGUCCGUAGUCAAAAGGGAAACAGCCCAGACCAUCAGCUAAGGUCCCAAAAUAUAUGCUAAGUGGAAAAGGAUGUGGAGAUGUCCAGACAACCAGGAGGUUGGCUCAGAAGCAGCCACCCUUUAAAGAGUGCGUAACAGCUCACUGGUCGAAUGACUCUGCGCCGAAAAUUUACCGGGGCUAAGCAUAAUACCGAAGCUAUGGAUUUAUACGACAAGUAUAAGUGGUAGGGGAGCGUUCCUGUCAGCGAGGAAGCAUGACCGCAAGGACAUGUGGAGCGGCAGGAAGAGAGAAUGCCGGUGUGAGUAGCGGAACGUGGGUGAGAAUCCCACGCACCGAAUACCCAAGGUUUCCAGAGGAAGGUUCGUCCGCUCUGGGUAAGUCGGGACCUAAGGCGAGGCCGAAAGGCGUAGUCGAUGGACAACGGGUGGAGAUUCCCGUACCUGAUGAAGAGGCAAUGGAGUGACGGAGCAGGCUAGGCGAUCCAGCUGCUGGAAUAGCUGGUGCAAGCGAGGUAGGGGACAUCCAGGCAAAUCCGGAUGUUGAAACCCGAAGGCGUGACGCGUAUGGAACAUUACGAUAAGUACAGAAGUCGCCGAAGCAAGCUUCCAAGAAAAGCUUCUAGCAAUCAACUCUUUGUCAGCCCGUACCGAAAAUGGACACACAUGGGUGAGGAGAGAAUCCUAAGGUGAGCGAGAGAACUAUAGCUAAGGAACUCUGCAAAAUGACUCCGUAACUUCGGGAGAAGGAGUGCUCAUUGAGAGAUGAGCCGCAGUAAAACGGCCCAAGCGACUGUUUACCAAAAACACAGCUCUCUGCCAAGACGCAAGUCGAAGUAUAGGGGGUGACGCCUGCCCGGUGCUGGAAGGUUAAGAGGAGUGGUCAGCGCAAGCGAAGCCAUGAAUUGAAGCCCCAGUAAACGGCGGCCGUAACUAUAACGGUCCUAAGGUAGCGAAAUUCCUUGUCAGGUAAGUUCUGACCCGCACGAAAGGCGUAACGAUUUGGGCGCUGUCUCAGCUGUAGACUCGGUGAAGUCUUAGUACCUGUGAAGAUGCAGGUUACCCGCGACUAGACGGAAAGACCCCAUGGAGCUUUACUGUAGCUUGAUAUUGGAUUUUGAUGCAUGAUGUACAGGAUAGGUAGGAGACGAAGAGACGGAUACGCCAGUAUUCGAGGAGUCGCCGUUGGGAUACUACCCUUCAUGUAUUGAAGUUCUAACCGGACGCCAUAAGCUGGCGACGGGACAGUGUCAGGUGGGCAGUUUGACUGGGGCGGUCGCCUCCCAAAGAGUAACGGAG
rnacentral:rRNA from 1 species